UUUACAUAGGGAACGAGCAAGUUUGUACCAAUCAGUAGAAUGGACGAUAAUGAAUAUGUAUGAAUAUGUAAAUUUUUGAUCUAUACAUCGUAUGAGAAAGGUUUGUAAGGUAUGCACGUUAGGAUGAGCGAUCCCCCGUGCAUCCGGUGCUGUGAAUAAAGAAUGCCUGCUCUUUAAUACUAAAUUGGUGUUAAAGAGUUGUUUCUGAUUUUACCGUGUUUUUCGGUAACAGUUUUGGCGACCCAGAUGGGACCCUGCUUUUGAAUCUCGACGGAUUCGUGGGAUUGUGAGACCCCCAGCCGGCACCGAGGGAUUCUCGGGGAGAGCUUCUGAUUCCCGGACCAGAGAAUUCUGAGCAAGAUCCCCUGGAUUGAGGAUUCCUCCAGGGAGGAACAGAUUCCCAAAGAAGUGGAAAAUGCAGUAAUUCCUUUGGUUUGAGCGAGCGGAGUUCCGGAGCGAUCUAAAUUGGCAGAGCCGGUAAAAGUAACGUUAAAACCUGGAGCCAAGCCGUCCCUAGGUAAUCAUUAAUGUGAACGAAACAAUAGACAAUGUGCUUCUGUCAGAAAAGGAUGACAAAAUGUGGUUUCGUGUAGUGGACUGAGAAAACUGGCCAGGACUGCCAAGAUUAAGAGCCAAGUAGGUAAA